UACGGGGGGGGCAAGCGUUGUUCGGAAUUACUGGGCGUAAAGGGCUCGUAGGCGGCCAACUAAGUCGGACGUGAAAUCCCUCGGCUUAACCGGGGAACUGCGUCUGAUACUGGAUGGCUUGAGUUCGGGAGAGGGAUGCGGAAUUCCAGGUGUAGCGGUGGAAUGCGCAGAUAUCAGGAGGAACACCGAUAGCGAAGGCAGCUCGCUGGGACGGUACUGACGCUGAGGUGCGAAAGCGUGGGGAGCGAACAGG
rnacentral:rRNA from 1 species